GGCUGGUUGGCGCAAUGGUAGCGCGUGCCCCUCCUAGUACCUAAAAAGUCUUUAAGGGCAAGGUUGCGGGUUCGAGUCCCGUGCUGGUCG